rnacentral:rRNA from 1 species
UACGGAGGGUGCAAGCGUUGUCCGGAAUCACUGGGCGUAAAGGGCGCGUAGGCGGCUCGGUAAGUAGGGGGUGAAAUCCUGCGGCUUAACCGCAGGGCUGCCUUCUAAACUGUCGAGCUUGAGCACGGUAGAGGCAGAUGGAAUUCCCGGUGUAGCGGUGGAAUGCGUAGAGAUCGGGAAGAACAUCAGUGGCGAAGGCGGUCUGCUGGGCCGUUGCUGACGCUGAGGCGCGACAGCGUGGGGAGCGAUCCGG